rnacentral:rRNA from 2 species
UACGUAGGGGGCUAGCGUUGUCCGGAAUCAUUGGGCGUAAAGCGCGCGUAGGCGGCCCGGUAAGUCCGCUGUAAAAGUCAAAGGCUCAACCUUUGAAUGUCAGUGGAUACUGCCGGGCUAGAGUCCGGAAGAGGCGAGUGGAACUCCUGGUGUAGCGGUGGAAUGCGCAGAUAUCAGGAAGAACACCGACGGCGAAGGCAGCUCGCUGGGACGGUACUGACGCUGAGGCGCGAAAGCGUGGGGAGCGAACAGG